GAUAAUUAGAGAGGCGUGAAGAACGAUGCAGCACCCUCAGAACAAACACUAGCCCACAGCAGCCAUGUAUCCUGAGGGUGUUGAUCUGCUGCACUUCCCCAUUGUUGAAGAAGGCCUUAUGAAACCAGUAGUUUAGCAAAAAUGGAUCAGCACACUGAACCUGGACUCGGAACACAGCACUGUCAGAUGAGUCCUCCACAAUAUGAAUAGUUAGCACAUCCAUGAAGCUACAAAGACAAGGGAUAGUGUGUGGAGACUCCAACAGAAUUUCUUGAUGACGAUCCUGGGUAAAUCGAGAGCGUUUCCCCUCAUACUUCUAAACUGAAAGCUACAGACUCAACCAGAUGGGAGAACUAAAUAAACAUAUGGCAUUGUUAGUAGUAGAUGAGAAGAAUCCUUCUGAAGAAAGCAUUCGUUACAGUAACUCUGAUGGAAAAGUUGGCUACAGAAAACAGA